GGGCCAAGCAGUAACCGAAAGGUUGCAGGAUCAAAUGAAGGUAAACAUCUGUCGUACUGCCCGAGCUAGGCAGUUCCCCGGUGGGCGAAUUUUAUUUUGAAAUUUUUCGAAAUUCCGUGACCCGGAAUUACUUUUUUAAGAUUUGCCGACGAGACGCUGAGAGGAGUUGCAACCUUUCAAGUAUCUAGAAGAAAGUAUUCCAUCUAUCUUGCUGUGUCUAUGUCUCAUGAUGAUGAGCUUUGUCCUCCUGAGGAGCUGAAGCACUGGAGCUUGCCUGGCCCUGAACAUGAAUUCUGCAGAGGACAGUUCUUCCUCUUCCACACAGAAGACCUCGGUCUGGGCCGACCAGCAAACAGCCACUCCACAGCUGGGAGUUAGCCCUCCGUCUCCCACACAGUGCUUUGGGGAUGGAGAAGGAACCAGCUCUGCUAACCCAUCUGAAACACCCAUUUCAACCAACCCUGCAACCCCAUCUGAAACACCAGUUUCAACCAACCCUUCUAGCCCAUCUCAAACACUUGUUUCACCCCAAAAAAAGAGGACAGCAGAGAAAGGAACCUUUGACGCAUCACAGCCACAGGGUGAACGUCGCAAGAGGGGGAGGCCACGCAAACACAAGAAACCCCAGACUGACACAGAACACCAGAUCCAUCAGGCCCAGUCCCCGACAGCUACACAUCCAUGUUUACAGCCAGAGGACCAAACAGAGGCUGUGACACUGACACCCAACUUACCUGUGAUACCUGAGGACAGGUGUCAGUCACCUGAUGCCCAAACAAAGGUUGAGACACAGCUCCAGUCACCCAGCUCACCUGUGCCUGAGGAUAAGUGCCAGUCACCUGAGGCCACCUUUGAACCACCAUGCCCCACCUUGGACUUACAGAGCACCAAUAAGGGACAGAGUAAGAACGGGCCCCAUCUCUCCAGUGCUUCUGUUGGACAAGGAGACCUAACAGGCCCUAAUGUUCUAACCACUGAUGGAUACACAUACUCACAGGCCAGGGAGAUGGGGGCUGAACCCAGCCAGAAUGACAGUAUCACUGCCACUGGGAUAUUUUUAAGCAAAUGUGCCAAAGGGCAAAGGACUCUGUGCCAGUCACCACAGAAUCUGAAAGAUGGGAGAAAGGCGGCUAAAAAAUCACAAAUUCAUAAGGUCGACCAGCAACAGGAGCGUGAGACUGUGACAAAUGGGGAAAAUACAUCUAAACCCUUACCGACUAUUAAGGUAGGACAGGAGAAUUGCCUGACACAAAAGACUGGGCGAAAAAGGAAAUAUACAAAAAAAUCACAGAGCCAUAAGGUAGACCAGCCAAGGGACACUGACCAGUCACAGGAGAGUGAGACAGUGAGAAAUGGGAAAAAGACAUCUAUAAAAUCACCAACCCAUAAGAUAGACUGGUCACAGGAGACGGUGAGAAAGAGAACAUAUACCAAAAAAUCUCAGACCCCUAAGGUUGACCAGUCACAGGAGGAGUUUGUAAAAAAUAAGAAAAAGGGCUCUAAAAUAUCUCCAACCCAUAAGGGAGAACAGUCACAAGAGAUGGUAAUAAAGAGGAAAUAUACAAAAAAAACACAGAGCCAUAAGGGAGACAAGCCACAGGAGACUGUGAGAAAUGGGAAAAAGACAACUAUGAAGUCACCAACUCAUCAGGUAGACCAGUCACAAGAGUUUGUAACAAAAAGGAAAAAGGUGUCUAAAAUAUCUUCAACCCACAAGGUAGACCACUCACAAGAAACUGUGAAAAAGAGGAAAUAUACAAAAAAAUCACAGACUCAGGAGGAGACUGGAAAAAAUACAUUGAUGAAAUCACUGACGAAUAAGGUAAACAAGGUGGCAUCGAAAAAAUCACAAAGCCAUACGGUAGAACAGUCACUGGGGAUUGACCAAUCACAAGAGACGGUGAGAAAGAGGAACUACACAAAAAAAUCACAGAAGCAUAAGGAUGACUCACAUGAGACUGUGAGAAAUGGGGAAAAGACAUCCAGAAAAUCACAGAAGCACAAGGUUGAGUUACGAGACACGGAACAGUCACAGGAGGAGACUGUAAAAAAAAGGAAAUAUACUAAGAAAUCAAAGACCCACAAGGUAGACUCAGGAGUCCUCUCAUUACUCCCUGUGUUAUCUGCAGACCUCUCCCCCAACCUUUCCUCUCCCACAUUCAGCCCUCCUGGGCUCCCAAAGAGAAAAUAUACCAAAAAAUCGCAGACCCUCAAGGUAGACUCAGAUGUCCCAUCCUCACUCAUUGUACUGUCUGCAGACCUCUCCUCCAGCCUGCAGAGUAGCCCUUCUGGCAUCUUCUCACCAAACGCACCUAAGAGAGUCAGAGGCAGACCUCAGCGGGACCAGCAGCAGCUUUUUCUUAGCUCCACGCCAGGCCCUCACCCCAGAUCCUCCACAGGAACAGACAACCCCUUCUCUGCCUCCCUGUCUCACCUGGGACCGGGCUCCAAGACAGAGGGCCCCCAGAACGCCUCACCCAUCACACCCUGGAAGCUGUUGGAACUAAGCCCUCUGGAGAAGGUACUGUAUUAUCAUCUUCAUCACUGAUUAGAAAUGUAUAUUUAUUUAACCUUUAAGGUUAAAACCUGUUUUCACUGUCAUUAUGGGUUAUUGAGUGUAGAUUGAGGGGAAAAAAUGUAUUUAAUCAAUUUUAGAAUAAGGCUGUAACAACAAAAUGUGGGAAAAGGAAAGGGGUCUGAAUACUUUCCGAAUGCACUGUAUUUCCUGUUUCUUCUAAAAAAAAAGUUGUCAUGAACCUCAGGUCACCACCUUCCUUUUCCUUUAACACUAUAUUACGUUGUCAGGUGAAUGGUCAAACACUGAAUAGUGCUCAGGAUUGUGGUCAGUGUUUAAAAGUAAUCACCGUUCAAUAACCUUCUCUCUUGCCUAUUGCAUUUCAAUCCAUUUAAAUGAAAUCCCAGUAUUCAUAUGUUCAAUACAGAAUUGUUCACCAAAAUAUAUGUAAUCUCUCCCAGACACACUUAGCUUUACCCGGUAGUAAACCUCGGGGUAGACCCAAAGUUAGGCCAAGGAAGAACUCGGCUACAGUGAAGGGAGUGAAAACUCAGGGUGGUAAGAAGAAGGUGAAGGCUGCAGCAGAGGGAGGGUCCCAGACCUUCAGCUCUGAGGGAGGCCCCCCAGCCAAACUCAGACGUAGAAGCAGGAAGGGCCAGACAGCAGAGGGAGCUGGCCUGCAGAGCGGCGACACUACCAGCACUGAGCCACUCCAACGCUCCAGACCAAGGUUUGAGCUGCAGGAGUCAGACUCACCAGACAAAGACACAGGAGAUGCCUCCCUGUCCUCAGACCUCUCCAUCGAGCUAAGCGUACAGGAAGACCGUGUAACAUCACUGACUCUUGAAGAGGAGGAUGAGCAAGACGAUGAGGAAGAUCUGCCCAGUUUCUUAAAUAACACAAAGCCACUGUCCAUAACAGAAGGAAUAUGUGUUUGGUGCAAAUUUAGAAACUAUCCUUUCUGGCCGGCAAUGGUGAAGAGUGUGAACCGUAAGCUGAAGAAAGCCAGCAUUGUGUUUAUUGACGACCUGCUGUUUGACAAAAAGAGGAUACAAAAAGGCUUUUCUGUGUCCCUAAAAACAUUGAAGCCUUUUGACUGUGAAGAGUCUGAUCAGCUAGUGUGUAAAGCCAGAGAGAAGUAUGAUGCUGCCAUCAAAUGGUGUCUGGCGUUGAUAGCCGACUAUAGAAUCCGUAUCGGAUGCGGCUUCACCGGUUCCUUCAUUGAAUACUUUUCUGAUGACAUAAGCUGCCCAGUGAGAAAAUGCUACCCCCGGGGCACCUCAGACCUGACCUUCCCCAGUAAGCUAAUUCUAGAGGAGCAGUUCGUAACCUCUGACCCGGAAGGGGACGAUCAGGAGGGCAGCAAACGGCAGGAGGAGGAGAGGAGGCGGAAGCUGCUGCCUGACCGUUCCAAGGCUGCACGUAACCGUGCCAACGAGAAACUGGUGGACUUUGUCGUCAGGCAGCGCCGGGUGGAGACACGCCUUCUAGGCGUAAUCAGUGGUCAGCAGCAGUCUAAGUGGCUGCGUUGGUUCCUGGCGGCCAGUCGGUCAGUUGUGGACACGUACCUGGAGGACGAGGAGCAGCUGGACCAGGUGUACCAGUACCUGAGAGGGGUGUACGAGACCGCCCCCCUCACCGCACCCUGUCUGGCUGAUGUAGACCGCAUCCGCUUGGUACUGGACGUGCUGUUACCAGAGGCUAUUAUCUAUGCCAUAGCUGGAGUGGACGAGUUGUCACUGGUGAAGGCAGAAGACAAAUACCUGAAAGGGCCCCGUCUGAGUAAAAGGGAAAGAGAGGAGUUUGAUGCGAUGAUCGAGCAACAGAUGAAGAUGAAAGCAUCAAUCCGUCAGCGUCCUGCACACUGAACAUAACACAGCCUAAUUGGCUUCCAACCCUCAGACUAAGAGUGCCAUAGGGCUCUGGUCAAAAGUAGUUUGAAUAGUGCCAUUUGGGAUGCAGCCUCAGAAUGCCAGUGUCCUAAUCAAACGAUGCUUCUAAGCAUUAUAGGACAAUAAAUAAGUAAGUAGCCUUUUCCAAGCAAGAACAGCCAGUAAGGUAGAAGCCUCUUUCUGUACCGUGAAGCAGCUUGAUAUACAAGCACACCCUCUGGCCAGGACACUGGUCUAUCGCAGACAAUAAGAACCAUAUAUAACUGUCUCUAAAUGUGGCUCUGAGGACAAUCAACUGCUGUUGUACAUGCUAGCAGUGGUGUGACUUAACAAAACUACAUUGAAUUACCAAGUUAAUCAAAUCAUUGUCAAAUCAUCUGUGAUCGACUGGUCAAGAUUUACAGCUUCAACACGGAACUCCUGGGAGGGUGGGACCUCGUGCCAUUCAGACAGAUUUACGCCGCUGUUUGAAACUGGGACUUCAUUUUAGACCCACUGCAACAGUAUUUGAUCCAACAUGGUUGCCCGUUUAGGCUGUUCAACUGUAAAUACAGGACAUUAAAGAAGACACUGCUCUAUUUUUCUAUGGAAAAGUCUGCUCUUUUUAAAAAUAAAUAGUCAUAUUUGAACGUUCCAGUCUUAUUCUAUGGUCAUGUAAGGUUAGCUUGUUAGUAAGUUCAUGUACCCAUUUCCUGGUGACAGUGUUUAGAACAUCAAGCUAUACAACAUUCUGAAUGUGAAUCAUGUCAACUCAUCUAUAGUGAAUCCCAAAUGACACCCUAUUCCCUUUAUAGUGCACUUUUUUUGGAAAGGACCCAAGUAGUCCACUAGAUAGGGAACCAUUUGGGAUGCAACCCAUGACUUGCAAUGACAGUACAGGAACAAGACUAUUCCCCAAUGACAGGUCAAUAAUGAAUACAUGCAAGUCUGAUAAAGGAUUUUAUUUGUAUUAUAUACUGAACAAAAAUAUAAAUGCAAUAUGCAACAAUUUCAACAGUUCAUAUAAAGAAAUCAGUCAAUUGAAAUAAAGUCAAGUGGGCCCUAAUCUAUGGAUUUCACAUGACUGGGAAUACACAUAUGCAUCUGUUGGUCACAGAUAUCUUUAAAAAAUAGGUAGGAGUGUGGAUCAGAAAACUAGUCAGUUACUUGUGUGUCCACCAUUUGCCUCAUGCAGCGCGACACAUCCUUCGCAUAGAGUUGUUCAGGCUGUUGAUUGUGGCCUGUGGAAUGUUGUCCCACUCCUCUUCAAUGGCUGUUCAAAGUUUCUGGAUAUUGGCGGGAACUGGAACACGUCGUACGUGUCGAUCCAGAGCAUCCCAAACAUGCUCAAUGGGUGACAUGUCUGGUGAGUAUGCAGGCUAUGGAAGAACUGGGACAUUUUCAGCUUCCAGGAAUUGUGUACAGAUCCUUGCAACAUGCAGCUGUGCAUUAUCAUGCUAAAACAUUAGGUGAUGACGGUGGUUGAAUCGCACAACAAUGGGCCUCGGGAUCUCAUCACGGUAUCUCUGCAUUCAAAUUGCCAUCGAUAAAAUGUAAUUGUGUUCGUUGUCCAUAAUCCCACCGCCACCAUGGGGCACUCUGUUCACAACGUUGACAUCAGCAAACCGCUCGCCCACACAACGCCAUACACGUUGUGGUAUCCAGGAGGUCUACCCCGGGGGUUGGUGAUAGUGGGGAGGUACGUGCCGCGACGUUGGCUCCCUCUGCUGGGAGUACCCGGGGUGGGCACCACGACACUGAUG
rnacentral:lncRNA from 1 species